UACAGAGGGGGCAAGCGUUGUUCGGAAUUACUGGGCGUAAAGGGCUCGUAGGCGGCCAACUAAGUCAGACGUGAAAUCCCUCGGCUUAACCGGGGAACUGCGUCUGAUACUGGAUGGCUUGAAUUCGGGAGAGGGAUGCAGAAUUCCAGGUGUAGCGGUGAAAUGCGUAGAUAUCUGGAGGAAUACCGGUGGCGAAGGCGGCAUCCUGGACCGACAUUGACGCUGAGGAGCGAAAGCUAGGGGAGCAAACGGG
rnacentral:rRNA from 1 species